CAUGCUGGAGCUGAGAAGAGGCUCUAGAAGAAAAAUCUGGUGCAUGCUUAUUUGCCCUUCCAAACACAAGUAGUUCAUGCACAGAGAACAACUAAAUAAAGAUGAAGACUGCUUAGGGCACUGGACAGACUAUGAUGUAAUGGUCUUGCCAUGUCCUGGGAAGAGGGCUGAUGGGUCUAUCAUACAAAGAGCCCAAGCUGCAGUGGGCUGAUUGACUCCUGAGUUGCACACAGGAUAAGAAAGCCACUAGGCUCAGUAUCAGUACUUUUGUCAAUGUUGUUGUUAAUCACUGCACCCCCCACCCCAAACAACUACUUGCCAUUGAGUACCUCCCAUGUGCUGGAAAUGUUGUAAGCAUUUACUCCCAUUCUUAUUUUCACAAGUAUCCUGUGAGACUGGUAUUAAAAUUAGCUCCAUUUUAUAGAGAAGGAGGGUAAGACUCAAAGGGGUGAAGUUACACACCAAAGUUUCCUGACUGGUAAGCAAGUGGUGAAGUGAAUGAAAGCUGCUUCUGAUUCUCCAGGGGAAACUAACUCAGUCUUACUGCCAAGAACUUCUGUUUAUUGAGUAUCUACUAUCUGCUAGGAGCAUUACAUGCAUUUUUCCCCUUAAUCCUCACAAUAGUCCUGUGAAUAUGGAAUUAUUCUUAUCUUCAUCUUAUGGAUCAAGAAAACAAGAUUCCUGGAAGUUAAGCAACUCGAACAAGGCACAGCUAAUAAAAGUAAGCUGGGAUUUCAACCACUAAGUCAGUGGCUCUCAGAACCUUUAUACUCUUAAAACUUAUUGCGGAUAAAUCCACAGAGACAGAAACCAAAUUAGUGGUUGCCAGGGGCUUGGGG
rnacentral:lncRNA from 1 species